GGGGGUGUAGCUCAGUUGGUUAGAGUGUCGGCCUGUCACGCCGAAGGUCGCGAGUUCAAGUCUCGUCACUCCCGCCA
rnacentral:tRNA from 1 species